UACGUAGGGUGCAGGCGUUAAUCGGAAUUACUGGGCGUAAAGCGUGCGCAGGCGGUUUUGUAAGCCAGGUGUGAAAUCCCCGGGCUCAACCUGGGAAUGGCAUUUGGGACUGCAAGGCUGGAGUGUGGCAGAGGAGACUGGAAUUCCUGGUGUAGCAGUGAAAUGCGUAGAUAUCAGGAGGAAUACCGAUGGCGAAGGCAGGUCUCUGGGCUGACACUGACGCUCAUGCACGAAAGCGUGGGGAGCAAACAGG
rnacentral:rRNA from 1 species